rnacentral:rRNA from 1 species
UGGGGAAUAUUGGACAAUGGGGGGAACCCUGAUCCAGCCAUGCCGCGUGUGUGAAGAAGGCCUUAUGGUUGUAAAGCACUUUAAGCGAGGAGGAGGCUCUCUUGGUUAAUACCCAAGAUGAGUGGACGUUACUCGCAGAAUAAGCACAGGCUAACUCUGUGCCAGCAGCCGCGGUAAUACAGAGGGUGCGAGCGUUAAUCGGAUUCACUGGGCGUAAAGCGUGCGUAGGCGGCUUUUUAAGUCGGAUGUGAAAUCCCCGGUCUUAACUUCGGAAUUGCAUUCGAUACUUGUAGUCUAUAUUAUGGUAGAGGAUGGUAGAAUUCCACGUGUAGCGUUGAAAUGCGUAGUGAUCUGGAGGACUACCGAUGGCGAAGGCAGCCAUCUGGCCUAAUACUGACGCUGAGGUACGAAAGCAUGGGGAGCAAACAGG